rnacentral:rRNA from 1 species
UACGGGGGGGGCAAGCGUUGUUCGGAAUUAUUGGGCGUAAAGAGCUCGUAGGUGGCUUGUCGCGUCUGCCGUGAAAGCCCGUGGCUUAACUACGGGUCUGCGGUGGAUACGGGCAGGCUAGAGGCUGGUAGGGGCAAGCGGAAUUCCUGGUGUAGCGGUGAAAUGCGCAGAUAUCAGGAGGAACACCGGUGGCGAAGGCGGCUUGCUGGGCCAGUUCUGACGCUGAGGAGCGAAAGCGUGGGGAGCGAACAGG